UCAAAUCGAGCAAAGUAACUUACAAGGAAGCGGAUGAGCUCGAUGGUCCCUCGAGCAAUCUUUGGGUUGGGAAUUUGGCCGCCGACGUUUCGGAUUCGAAUCUUAUGGAUCUAUUUGCAAAGUUCGGUGUUCUUGAUUGCAUGAUGACUUGUACGUCUAGGAGUUAUGCGUUCUUAUACUUCAAACGCGUGGAGGAUGCUGCAGCGGCGAAGCAGACGCUUCAAGGAACGGUCUUGCGUGGGUAUCCUUUGAAGAUCGAGUUUGCGAGACCGGUUCGUUGUUCUCAUCUCUGCG
rnacentral:misc_RNA from 1 species